rnacentral:miRNA from 1 species
CUUCACAACUGGCUGCUUUAC